rnacentral:rRNA from 1 species
UGGGGAAUAUUGGACAAUGGGCGCAAGCCUGAUCCAGCAAUGCCGCGUGUGUGAAGAAGGCCCUCGGGUUGUAAAGCACUUUUAUCAGGAGCGAAAUCUGCCCGGUUAAUACCUGGGUAGUCUGACGGUACCUGAGGAAUAAGCACCGGCUAACUCCGUGCCAGCAGCCGCGGUAAUACGGAGGGUGCAAGCGUUAAUCGGAAUUACUGGGCGUAAAGGGUGCGUAGGCGGUUGCUUAAGUCUGUUGUGAAAUCCCCGGGCUCAACCUGGGAAUGGCAAUGGAUACUGGGCAGCUAGAGUGUGUCAGAGGAUGGUGGAAUUCCCGGUGUAGCGGUGAAAUGCGUAGAGAUCGGGAGGAACAUCAGUGGCGAAGGCGGCCAUCUGGGACAACACUGACGCUGAAGCACGAAAGCGUGGGGAGCAAACAG